UCUCAGCUCCCUUUCCUAGAGCCCAAUCAGCAGAAUCAAAGUAGGCACGCUCGUGGUCCUUAGAUAUGAGUGGUUGUUUUCUGGGUAAAAUUCCUCCGUACUUUUUCUUGACUGCUUGCUCCUCUUCUUGCGGUGAAGGCAUUGGGUUUGAGUUCAUCCCAGACAUGGUGUGCUCCACCAAAUCUUUAGGGUAGCUUACACAGCCGGUCCGACGGUCACGGAGAGCUG
rnacentral:misc_RNA from 1 species